rnacentral:miRNA from 1 species
GCGUCAAAUUUACGAUCCGGAA